AUUAAAGAAAUAUUGCGAUUUAAUAGACAUUAUUAAAUUGCUUAUGAAUGGCAUUUUCAUGCAAUAUCAAUUUUGUUGCAUAUUAGAUAAAAUGUGUUUUAAAUUUGAACCUGCCAUUACUAGAUAGUCAGUUAGAUGGCACGACGAUGCACGUUUUCGCGUUAAAUAUUGCUUGUCGGUGGUAGUGAGUGCACACCGUGUCCGUGUGCAAUCACGCGAUUUCGCGCAAGAGAUAAGUUUGUUUACCUGCAGAUAUCGAAUUUUUAUUUCGUGGAAUCAAAACACACCGUUGCUGUUUGUUAUAUUUGCAUCGUAAAUAAGCAAAUAUUCUUCAAUUCUUUCAUGAAUAUAACUAACAGUUUUAUAUUAAUUUUUAGUUUAUUAUAAAAAUCAUCAAGAAUGCAAAACAUUUUUAUUAUCAGCAGAUCACUUAAGCAGAUAUCACUUAAAUAUUUUAUGUAAAAUCUUGCACUCUGUCAGCAUAAGAAAUCAGAAUUAGACGAAUCGAAUUUUAGUUUUUCAUUACUUUUUAAUAAUCUAAAUUUUGAAACUACUGUAUCAUUCAUAGAUGGCCCUAGCAUGACCUAAAAAUCGUAAAGUAGAUUUGUAUUGCUUAUUUCUAUAUAAUUAUCGGCAAGCGAUAUUGUAGAUUUUUAAGUAUAACACGCGAACGCGGUCUUAAAGUGAUUUCGGAUUAAUUUUCCCAGAUGCGUAAUUUAAUUCUUUAUUUCCCUGUAUCGAUAUUUAUUGCGAGAAAAUUCCGUAACGCGAGUUAUAUUGAUAGUUGUGUGUAUACUCAUAUACGCAAUAGUACUCGUUGCGCUAGUAAUUGUAGUUUUUUUAUUAUAACACGCGAACGCCGUCUUAAACUAAGUUUGGAAUAAUUUUCCCAGAUGCGGAAUUUAAUUCUUUAUUUCCCUGUAUCGAUAUUUAUUGCGAGAAAAUUCCGUAACGCGAGUUAUAUUGAUAGUUGUGUGUAUACUCAUAUACGCAAUAGUACUCGUUGCGCUAGGAAUUGUAGUUUUUUUAUUAUAACACGCGAACGCCGUCUUAAACUAAGUUUGGAAUAAUUUUCCCAGAUGCGGAAUUUAAUUCUUUAUUUCCCUGUAUCGAUAUUUAUUGCGAGAAAAUUCCGUAACGCGAGUUAUAUUGAUAGUUGUGUGUAUACUCAUAUACGCAAUAGUACUCGUUGCGCUAGGAAUUGUAGUUUUUUUAUUAUAACACGCGAACGCCGUCUUUAAACUAACUUUGGAAUAAUUUUCCCAGAUGCGGAAUUUAAUUCUUUAUUUCCCUGUAUCGAUAUUUAUUGCGAGAAAAUUCCGUAACGCGAGUUAUAUUGAUAGUUGUGUGUAUACGCAAUAGUACUCGUUGCGCUAGGAAUUGUAGUUUUUUUAUUAUAACACGCGAACGCCGUCUUAAACUAAGUUUGGAAUAAUUUUCCCAGAUGCGGAAUUUAAUUCUUUAUUUCCCUGUAUCGAUAUUUAUUGCGAGAAAAUUCCGUAACGCGAGUUAUAUUGAUAGUUGUGUGUAUACGCAAUAGUACUCGUUGCGCUAGGAAUUGUAGUUUUUUUAUUAUAACACGCGAACGCGGUCUUAAACUAAGUUCGGAAUAAUUUUCCCAGAUGCGGAAUUUAAUUCUUUAUUUCCCUGUAUCGAAAUUUAUUGCGAGAAAAUUCCGUAACGCGAGUUAUAUUGAUAGUUGUGUGUAUACGCAAUAGUACUCGUUGCGCUAGGAAUUGUAGUUUUUUUAUUAUAACACGCGAACGCCGUCUUAAACUAAGUUCGGAAUAAUUUUCCCAGAUGCGGAAUUUAAUUCUUUAUUUCCCUGUAUCGAAAUUUAUUGCGAGAAAAUUCCGUAACGCGAGUUAUAUUGAUAGUUGUGUGUAUACGGAAUUGUACUUUUUUAAUAUUGUAACACGCGAACGCGGUCUUAGACUAAGUUCGGAUUAUUUUUCCCAGUUGCGGAAUUUAACUCUUUAUUUCUUUGUAUCGAAAUUUAUUGUGAGAAAAUUCCUUAACGCGAGUUAUAAUGAUAGUUGUGUUUAUUCGCAUAUACGCAGUAGUUUCGUUAGUAUAACGCGCGAACCGAAUGCGCUGAAAUUAACAACUGAUUAUAUUUUUUGAAUUAUUAUAUUUUACUUUAUUUUAGUGUACUUCAAAAAUGUGCUAUUUCUAUUCUACACGCAUAUCGGGGUUUGUGUAUAAACAAGUUUUUAUAUCGCUAUAAACGUGCGCAGUUCUGCCUCUCAUGCUACUAACAUUCGACCGCUUCAGUCUGUUCUUACCUGCACGCGGCUCGGCAUCAUUCUUUCAUUUAUUCCGAUUACAUUACAUUUUAUUAUUGAUUAAAAAUAAGCAUUUCUAACGGCACCUAAUGACAACAGACAUGUAGAUUGUUUUGCUAAGGAUGAUUUGUGCGUAAAAUGAUUGUAAAACUGGUGUUUCCAUGUGCGUGUCGGCUAUUGGAUUAUUUCGAUGUUGAGAAUUGGAAUUAGAAAUAUGUAUCCUAUUCGUAAUUUUAAUACUUUCUAUGAUUACCUGAUGCACUGGUAAGUUUGUAAACGUUAUUACAUUAUACUUUCAUAUUUAUCUAAAAUUGCAUGUAACGUGAAUACCGUAACAACACAAAAUUGAUGCGUGCCGUCGGAUGCGACUUGGAUCUACCCGCAGAGUAUGGUCAUGUCAAUCAUCGGUUUAAUAACGUGAAAUUUUCCUUGCUCGCAUUUUUAUUUCAUAAAUCUGCAGGCUGUUUAACGUAUUUUCGUAGUUUGGCAAUUAAUUAUUGAGAGUAAUAUAUUUGUAAAAGACGAUUUAAUUUUCUUCCGCGUGUGUGCUUGAGUUGCCGUCGGCGGACACAUUUUGCCUUGCUUGUGGCGUAUCUGGAGAAGCUUCGCAAGGCAAAUUUCAAGAUCGCAAUAAAAUUCAUAUUGAUGUUUUAUUUAUUCACAACUCUAGCUGCUCUACCUUUCCAUUUCUUGAUAUUCUGAGAGAAACAGGUAUUAGUUUAAAUUUUCUUGUUGUGUCACCUUCUAAUUAUGAAUGAAAUUCUCUGCAUCGAAAAUUUUGAAUUUUCUAAUAAAAUGUAGCGACUGACUAAACUGACUAAAUUGGUCGUUUCUGGGUCGUUUUCUACCUAAACUUUGUAUCUUAUUUUUAAUUUUAGGAAUUUCCUGUUUGUAUCACCCUGUAUGUUUGUUUUUCUUGACUUCCUAUUAUAAGUUUUCUAAAUUUGGUAUUCCCGACUGUUUCCUUCUUUGUACUAUUGAUUUUCUUUUUGUAACACCCUGUAUAUUUGUUUUCCUUAAUUUCCUAUGAAAAACUGUCGACAUUUAGUGUUUCCUAAUAUUUUCUAUCUUGAACUCGGCAUUUUCUUUUGUGAUGUAGUAAAUUCCUGUUUGCAGCACCCUGUAUAUUUGUUUUCCUUGUUGUCCGUGAAAAUUUAGCAUUAGUUGUUGUUUUAGGUUUUUCUUCUUUGCAUUUUGAAUUUUCUAUUUGUAACACCCUGUAUAUUUGUUUUCCUGAUUGUCGGUGAAAACGAGCGUUUGUAAUGUUUAGAGGUUUUCGUUUGCACUUAUAAUUUUCUUUUUGUAACUCCCUGUAUAUUUGUUCCCAUUUUCACUCAUGUAGAAAAUGGUCUAUUUUCUAAUUUCUUUAUCCCGGUAGUACUUUGCGAAGUGCAACUUGCUUGCAUGUGCGCGGCUAUGCAGGUCGUAAGUCUUGUUUCAAUAUGGCGACAUGUAUUCUGUUGACUUGUAAAAUAUAUACUUGUAUUCUAUUGUUAAUAAAUGAAUAGUAAGA